rnacentral:lncRNA from 1 species
CGAUAAUAUUUGUUUGGCCUUUUUCACGUAUACGAGUAGCCUCCCUUGAAGCUAGGUGCUCGUUGCCAGGCAAUAUUAUAGGUGGCGCCACUGUCAACAUGUGGAUGUGAAAACGAAAGUAGAUUAUUUAUCGUGGAAUAAUUACAAUUGUUUACCCUUCUACGUGGAAUUUAUAUGGUAAUGGUAUGAAUUGAGAUGAUUUAUUUAGUUACCUUCAACUGGUCAGUGGUCAACAAGAGAGUAUUACUGUGUGUCUUGAAACAUUGAAUGCCCUAAAAACAACCAGUAUGAUAAGAAGGCCAGAGUAUACAGCUUCCCAAAAUGUUGAAAGACUAAGCUGUUUUUUCUAAGGACUUGUAUACUAUCUAGGUUGAAAUUAGCCAUGGACAAUGAAUUUGGAGGUGCAUGCUGGAGCAUCAGAAAUGACAGACUUGGAAUAGAUAUUUGCAUAAUAUACAAGUAACAUUUACUGAAAAAUGACUAAUGUUUAUGUUAAUAAAGUGCAAUAUCCAUGCUUGUAACAUUUACAUGGGGGUAAUAGUUACAGUGUUGA